rnacentral:rRNA from 1 species
GACGAACGCUGGCGGCGUGCCUAAUACAUGCAAGUCGAACGAUGAAGCUCAGCUUUCUGGGUGGAGUAGUGGCGAACGGGCGGGUAACACGCGAGUAACCAGCCUUUGACUCUGGGCUAAGCGAUGCAAACGGCGCGUAAUUACGGAUACGAGAUUUCUAAGCAUGGAUAGUUUCUGGAAAGAAUGUCGGUCAAGCAUUGACUCCCGGCCUAUCAGGUAGUGGGUGAGGUAAUGGGUCACCAAGCCGACGACGGGUAGCCGGCCUGAGAGGGUGACCGGCCACACUGGGACUGAGACACGGCCCAGACUCCUACGGGAGGCAGCAGUGGGGAAUAUUGCACAAUGGGCGCAAGCCUGAUGCAGCAACGCCGCGUGAGGGACGAAGGCCUUCGGGUCGUAAACCUCUUUUAGCAGGGAAGAAGCGAAAGUGACGGUACCUGCAGAAAAAGCACCGGCUAACUACGUG